AAGACUUUACAUUAAGGGAUCGUUUCUAUAGCUACUAGGGAAGGCUCUCUGAAUAUAUGAGGAAGAAACAAAGCUGUUUGUCCUGAGUAUGAAGCUGGUGUUGCUUUGGUCCAACUGCCAUUUGCCACUGAUGAUAGUUCUUACCUUUCUCUGGGAGAAUAAAAGAGACAGAAUGCAGUUGGGGUGGU
ensembl:snoRNA U3 Small nucleolar RNA U3